rnacentral:rRNA from 2 species
UGGAUCCAGACUUUGAUUAUGGCUCAGGAUGAACGCUAGCUACAGGCUUAACACAUGCAAGUCGAGGGGGAACGAUAUUGGAAGCUUGCUUCCGAUAGGCGUCGACCGGCGCACGGGUGAGUAACGCGUAUCCAACCUGCCCAUCACUUGGGGAUAACCUUGCGAAAGUAAGACUAAUACCCAAUGACGUCUCUAGAAGACAUCUGAAAGAGAUUAAAGAUUUAUCGGUGAUGGAUGGGGAUGCGUCUGAUUAGCUUGUUGGCGGGGUAACGGCCCACCAAGGCAACGAUCAGUAGGGGUUCUGAGAGGAAGGUCCCCCACAUUGGAACUGAGACACGGUCCAAACUCCUACGGGAGGCAGCAGUGAGGAAUAUUGGCCAAUGGACGAGAGUCUGAACCAGCCAAGUAGCGUGCAGGAUGACGGCCCUAUGGGUUGUAAACUGCUUUUAUAAGGGAAUAAAGUGAGUCUCGUGAGACUUUUUGCAUGUACCUUAUGAAUAAGGACCGGCUAAUUCCGUGCCAGCAGCCGCGGUAAUACGGAAGGUCCGGGCGUUAUCCGGAUUUAUUGGGUUUAAAGGGAGCGUAGGCCGGAGAUUAAGCGUGUUGUGAAAUGUAGACGCUCAACGUCUGCACUGCAGCGCGAACUGGUUUCCUUGAGUACGCACAAAGUGGGCGGAAUUCGUGGUGUAGCGGUGAAAUGCUUAGAUAUCACGAAGAACUCCGAUUGCGAAGGCAGCUCACUGGAGCGCAACUGACGCUGAAGCUCGAAAGUGCGGGUAUCGAACAGGAUUAGAUACCCUGGUAGUCCGCACGGUAAACGAUGGAUGCCCGCUGUUGGUCUGAAUAGGUCAGCGGCCAAGCGAAAGCAUUAAGCAUCCCACCUGGGGAGUACGCCGGCAACGGUGCAACUCAAAGGAAUUGACGGA